AACGUAGGAGACAAACGUUAUCCGGAGUUACUGGGCGUAAAGGGCGUGUAGGUGGUUUCGUAAGUCUGGCGUGAAAUUUUUCGGCUUAACCGGGAAAGGUCGUCGGAUACUGCGGAACUAGAGGACGGUAGAGGCGUGUGGAAUUCCGGGUGUAGUGGUGAAAUGCGUAGAGAUCCGGAGGAACACCAGUGGCGAAGGCGACACGCUGGUCCGUACCUGACACUGAUGCGCGACAGCAUGGGGAGCAAACAGG
rnacentral:rRNA from 1 species